AAAAAUAACAUGGUAAAAUCUAUUUAAAAAUCUCCAUUCAAAUUUAACACAUGAUCAAUAUCUAAGUUGUUGGUGUGGUCCCUCAUUUGGGAUCCACACUUUUUUAAAAUAGGAAAAAAGGGAAUGUAAGCCCUAGCUUGGUGCAGUAAAUAGAGACUAAGUGAAACAAAGAAGGUGCAAUGCAGAAAAAGAGGCAGCAGUGAGGAAAAAAGAAAAAUAGGGGAAUGAGGAAGAGAAAAGGUUCAAAGAAAAUGAUGUUAUUUUAUGGGAC
rnacentral:lncRNA from 1 species